rnacentral:lncRNA from 1 species
GAUAUGAAUAUACCAUGUCACUACAGAGUUCUCAAACAAACACAAGACCAGAUAGCGAGCACGAGGAAAGCAACAAACUAGUCUAACAGGAUGUAACGUUACAUUUGUUUUCCCUUCAUGAAUAGGCACCAUGUCUGAAAGGCACUUCCAGAUUGUUGAAGGUGUAGUCAUAGCUGUACUGUUCGUGUUAUUAUCCUGUGUUAGUAAUGGUUUGUAUCUGGCACUAAGCAGGAGUGAACUAUGAAUGGGUGUGGUGCCUCACAGCUUGGUUUCAGUUCAGGGAAAAUAUAACUUAAAUUACCACCACAUUAACUGAGGCAGCAGAGACAGACGGGACAAAGUAACAGGUAGGUGUUGAAUGGUUUAGUUUGAUGAAAUUCGAUUUGAAUCAAGGAUACCUGAACAAUGUGUAUGAACGGAUACACGCUAACGUCCCAAGUACUGCUUUGUAAAUGAGGAAAACACGGGGGGACUUUCCUAUAUCUAGGAGAUAUGGACACAUAAAAACUACCGACAUAACUACCACAAAACUACCUACAUACCUCCAUUCAUUUUUUAAAAAUGGUACCAGUUACUUUAGAUGAGUCCCGUCACAUACCAUUGUGCUUGUGAGAAUCCCACCUUUUCCAUAGUGGAGUCAUAUUAGUUUGUAGCCCAAACCGUUCAGACGCUACAGACAGAAGUUGGCACAUCGGCGGUACUGACUUCAGAUGCAGAAGUCCGAUAUAGGCGGAGUUGGUAGAUUGAGAAGCAGUGGAAAACAGAAAAGAAAACGCUGCACACAUUUCCAUGACUUUGCCUACAUCUCCAGCGCCUGCGGAAAGUGCCUGGAUACACCCUCUUCAUUGAGUUGAAUUGAGUUCAGGAUAAACAACAGAGGAAAAGUACAUCAACAUGAUGUCUUCAGGUGAGUGCUGUACCGUGAUGAUUAAAACCCAAACUUCCCUUACAUAUGGAAGAGGACAGUUCAGUAGUGAUACUCUACUAUGGUAGUGUAACAGCUUCCCUAUCAUAGAGAAGAGGACAGUUCAGUAGAGAUACUGUACUAUUGUAGUGUAACAGCUUCCCUAUCAUAUGGAAGAGGACAGUUCAGUAGUGAUACUGUACUAUUGUAGUCCAACAGAAUAGGGAACAUAAAACUGACAGGGAUGCCAAAGUAAAAUAUAACCACUUGUUUUGUUUUUAUUCUUUCAAGUAUCA